CACGCCGUAAACGAUGAAUACUAGGUGUAGGGGGUAUCGACCCCCCCUGUGCCGCAGCUAACGCAAUAAGUAUUCCACCUGGGGAGUACGGCCGCAAGGUUGAAACUCAAAGGAAUUGACGGGGGCCCGCACAAGCAGUGGAGUAUGUGGUUUAAUUCGACGCAACGCGAAGAACCUUACCAGGGCUUGACAUCCUCUGACGACGGAAGAGAUUUCGUUUUCCCUUCGGGGACAGAGAGACAGGUGG
rnacentral:rRNA from 1 species